GAGUUUGAUCCUGGCUCAGAACGAACGCUGGCGGCGUGCCUGAGACAUGCAAGUCGUGGGAGAAAGUUGGGGCAACCCAGCGAGUAAACCGGCGCACGGGUGAGUAACACGUGGAUAACCUGCCCUGGAGACUGGGAUAACCCGUCGAAAGACGGACUAAUACCAGAUAAGACCACGGACAGUUCGCUGUCCGAGGUAAAAGGUGGCCUCUGCUCCUGCAAGCUAUCACUCCGGGAGGGGUCCGCGGCCUAUCAGCUAGUUGGCGGGGUAAUGGCCCACCAAGGCAAAGACGGGUAGCUGGUCUGAGAGGAUGGUCAGCCACACUGGGACUGAGACACGGCUCAGAGUCCUACGGGAUGCAGCAGUCAGGAUAUUGCGCAAUGGAGGAAACUCUGACGCAGCGACGCCGCGUGGGUGAUGAA
rnacentral:rRNA from 1 species